GUAGGGAAUAUUGCACAAUGGGCGAAAGCCUGAUGCAGCAACGCCGCGUGAGUGAUGAAGGCCUUCGGGUCGUAAAACUCUUUUAGAGGAGAUGAGGAAGGACAGUAUCCUCAGAAUAAGGAUCGGCUAACUACGUGCCAGCAGCCGCGGUAAAACGUAGGAUCCGAGCGUUAUCCGAAUUUACUGGGCGUAAAGCGCGUGCAGGCGGUUUGGCAAGUUGGAUGUGAAAGCUCCUGGCUCAACUGGGAGAGGCCGUUCAAAACUACCAGACUAGAGGGCGACAGAGGGAGGUGGAAUUCCCGGUGUAGUGGUGAAAUGCGUAGAUAUCGGGAGGAACACCUGUGGCGAAAGCGGCCUCCUGGGUCGCACCUGACGCUCAGACGCGAAAGCUAGGGGAGCGAACGGGAUUAGAUACCCCAGUAGUCC
rnacentral:rRNA from 1 species